AUUAAGGGCAUUAAUGAUUUUAGUGCAAUAAACUAAAAGUUAGAUGAACAUGGUUAAAUUAACCCCAUAUUAAUAUCUAUCAAAGUGGGCAAUUAAGCACUUUCAAGAGAUUCAAUACAUGUAUCUAGCUUAGUUUAUCUCCUUGUGCUUUGUGUGUCAAAUUAGCAAAAAGCUUUAUUCUCUUUCUGUUGUGGUGAUGGAGAAAAAAGAAUAGAUCUAUUUGCGCCUUUCGGCAAGAUAGAUUCAUCUUUGUAUUUUCUAAAGGAUCUUUUCUAAUUCGAACAAUAAUAGCACCAUCCAAGAUCAAAAGGUUUUCAAAUUGGGCGAGACUCGUCUGCAAGAGGAAAACCAAUUCAUAAAAGAGAAAAUAGUAUCCUCAUUUAUAAGGAGAAGACAUAAAGAAUAACGACGGACAGAGUGCCAGAAGGCUCUCGGGGAAGAGGCAAAUAUAGACAGUCUUACCUCUUUACUGGAGAAGCUGAUUCAAAAAUUCAAAAUGAAUUCUAAUACCUAUGGUACAUAGAUGCUUUUGCUUCCCUUAUCAUUUAUCUUAUAACUUAUUCUCAUUUAUUUAAGAAAUCAGCUUUCUGUUAAAAGCUUGCUUGAGAUAUCUCUUGAAAAGGCUACCAAAUUUUGGUGUGCUUACUGCCAAUUAGGAGUAACAUACGAGUCAUUUGCAUAUAUGACAGUUAUCAUAUAUCUUAGUGGUACCAACUGAAAUGGAAGAACUGUAUUUUAACUCCUAA